rnacentral:lncRNA from 1 species
GGAUUGUAUCAGGACAAAGUGCUGACCAGAAAGAUCUAUUGGCUGGUCUACCAGAGAAAACCCCAGUUUAUGUAGAGGGGGCAUUUAGAGUCUGGUUAGAUAAUUUUCAGGUGAAUUAUUUUAUCCUUCGAGGUCCUCCUUGUCCUGCUCUUCCUCCUAUACUAGAGGAUACUGAUGAUAUAGAGGCUGUGAGGUCAGUAGAGUAGUAGACCG